GUGGGGAAUCUUGCGCAAUGGGCGAAAGCCUGACGCAGCCAUGCCGCGUGAAUGAUGAAGGUCUUAGGAUUGUAAAAUUCUUUCACCGGGGACGAUAAUGACGGUACCCGGAGAAGAAGCUCCGGCUAACUUCGUGCCAGCAGCCGCGGUAAUACGAAGGGGGCUAGCGUUGCUCGGAAUUACUGGGCGUAAAGGGCGCGUAGGCGGACAGCUUAGUCAGAGGUGAAAGCCCAGGGCUCAACCUUGGAAUUGCCUUUGAUACUGGCUGUCUUGAGUUUGGGAGAGGUGAGUGGAACUCCGAGUGUAGAGGUGAAAUUCGUAGAUAUUCGGAAGAACACCAGUGGCGAAGGCGACUCACUGGCCCAAUACUGACGCUGAGGCGCGAAAGCGUGGGGAGCAAACAGGAUUAGAAACCCUUGUAGACC
rnacentral:rRNA from 1 species